rnacentral:piRNA from 1 species
UAUAACUUUCAGAAGCUGACUCCCUGCCU